rnacentral:lncRNA from 10 species
GUGGGAAUGAAGUGGUCAGUGAAGGAGAGAGGAGUUAUCUGGUGACUGGGAAGAUGGAAAUUAAACAUUGAGAACUCAGGUCUUCAUCAUGGGAAGAUCUAGAUUAUCAGAGAGCCUUGAUCAUUGAAGAAACAACAAAUGAUAAGUGUGGCUGUUAUGCAAAGAGAGAAGCAGGAAGGACCAGGUGUGUUCAGGGAGGCCAGCAUGGGUGUGACCUCAACAGGCUGUAGAUCAUGGGAUUUAAUAAAGGAACUAUGACAGUGUAAAAUAGAGACUCCAUCAUAUCUUGGUCAUCAGCCCGUUGGGAUGCAGAGCCCACAUACAUGAAGGCGAGGGGCCCAUAGUAUAAAGAUACAGGAAUCUUUACAGUUCAAGGAAACAGGUCUGUUAGAAAAGAUCACAAAUCACAUCAGGCAGUAACUCAAUAAACAUCUCUCUCUACAGUUUCUCUGAACUAAUCAAGCUCCAGAUGGUGCUGCAAACUAAACAACACAAGGACAAGCUGUUCUUCCAAGGACCUUAGAUCACCCCCAGGAGGAGCCCUAGUGCUGUUCCCCAUCUGAUGUCCCUUUCAGCAGGAAAUAGCCAGAAACAGUCAUCACCCAAAACCCCCUAACAGCAAUUAGGGUGAUAUUUCCACAGCAGCUCCAGAAAAGUUUUCAUGUGUGUCCAUGUCAUUUUUUCCAAUUCAACGAGAGACAAACAACCCUGGUGUUCCUCAACUCAUCAGAGCCAUAUCACUGAUACAGGAAAUAUAAAGAAAAAAUGGUAAUAAUUCCACGUGGAUAAAGUGGAGAUCUUCAACUGGGCAUUGUAGAUUUAAAUGUGUAUGUGAAAUACAGAUUAUUCCACAGUGUGCUAUGGACUUCAGAAUCAUAAAUAUUAAGUCACUGUAAGCCAGUUCUAGUUUUUACAAUUGAAAUUACACUUUAUGCCACAGUUUCCCACAAUAUGCUUCACUUCUGACAUUUUAUGCAAACUUCAGUUUGUAUAUAAAAUUAGAUGUUUUUCAUCAAGAAGAAUAGCUAAUGGAUGCUGAGCUUAAUAAGUAGGUGAUGUGUUCAUUUGUGUAGCAAACCACCGUGGCACACAUUUACCUAUAUAACAAACCUGCACAUAUACCACAGAACUUAAAAUAAAUGUUGAUUUUUAAAAACUGAAUGCUCCAUGUAUACCUAUGUAACAAACCUGUACGUUCUGACAUGUAUCCCAGAACUUAAAGUAUGAUAAUAAUAAAAAAAACUGGAUGCUUUUAGUGUUUUGAUUAGCAUAGUCUCAUCCGAGUUAGUCAUGAUUUUAAUAAGGCCAGUGAUCUAGAUUCCCUUCAUAAGCCAAUCCCAA